UCUAGCCCUUAUUUAGUCAAGACAUCAGCAUCCUUUGAAACGCCAUUUAGAGCAAGCGGCCAUAUAAACGCGUACCUUUCUACCAGGCAUCUCACAAAACGACGACAAGAGUACGAACGUUCAACACCUAUCUGAAGAUGAAACACGUCGCUCCAGUUUGCAUUGUCCUGCUUAUUCUAGGCUUGCAUUCAGCUGCACUUGCCCAUGACAGCGGAAGAUUGAACGAUGAGCAGGAACAACAUGGCGGCGUACCAAAAUCGCCAGAAGACCUUCCGAAGCCUAAGGAACAGAUAACCGUGGCCACCAAUCACCAGUUAAGGCAGCGCAGCAUCUGCCGUGAGCUGUUUUGUGUGUACCUUUGUGAAUAUCACCAAGACAUCAAGAGGGGACUGUGCUAUCUCGGGUGUAUGAAAAACGAAACACAGGCCCCACUCUGCCUGAAGCUUAUCUAGUGAUGACUUCGCAUUCGACAUGUGCUAGGCAUGGAGUUGUGUACCCAUAAAGCUACAGCCUGUAGUUUUCAGGUGCAAUACAAUAAACACGAAGACAAGAUGCAAACUAUA